GCCAGCAUGGCAUAGUGGUUUAAAUGUUGGACUUCUACUCUGGAGACCAGGGUUCGAUUCUCUGCUCAGCCA